rnacentral:rRNA from 1 species
GAUGAACGCUGGCGGCGUGCUUAACACAUGCAAGUCGAACGGAGAGGCCCAAGCUUGCUUGGGUCCUCGAGUGGCGAACGGGUGAGUAACACGUGGGUGAUCUGCCCUGCACUUCGGGAUAAGCCUGGGAAACUGGGUCUAAUACCGGAUAGGACGAUGGUUUGGAUGCCAUUGUGGAAAGUUUUUUCGGUGUGGGAUGAGCUCGCGGCCUAUCAGCUUGUUGGUGGGGUAAUGGCCUACCAAGGCGUCGACGGGUAGCCGGCCUGAGAGGGUGUACGGCCACAUUGGGACUGAGAGACGGCCCAGACUCCUACGGGAGGCAGCAGUGGGGAAUAUUGCACAAUGGGCGCAAGCCUGAGGCAGCGACGCCGCGUGGGGGAUGACGGCCUUCGGGUUGUAAACUCCUUUCGCUAGGGACGAAGCGUUUUUGUGACGGUACCUGGAGAAGAAGCACCGGCUAACUACGUG